rnacentral:rRNA from 1 species
GACGAACGCUGGCGGCGUGCUUAACACAUGCAAGUCGAACGGAAAGGCCCUGCUUUUGUGGGGUGCUCGAGUGGCGAACGGGUGAGUAACACGUGAGUAACCUGCCCUUGACUUUGGGAUAACUUCAGGAAACUGGGGCUAAUACCGGAUAGGAGCUCCUGCUGCAUGGUGGGGGUUGGAAAGAUUCGGCGGUUGGGGAUGGACUCGCGGCUUAUCAGCUUGUUGGUGGGGUAGUGGCUUACCAAGGCUUUGACGGGUAGCCGGCCUGAGAGGGUGACCGGCCACAUUGGGACUGAGAUACGGCCCAGACUCCUACGGGAGGCAGCAGUGGGGAAUAUUGCACAAUGGGCGGAAGCCUGAUGCAGCAACGCCGCGUGCGGGAUGACGGCCUUCGAGUUGUAAACCGCUUUCGCCUGUGACGAAGCGUGAGUGACGGUAAUGGGUAAAGAAGCACCGGCUAACUACGUG